UACAGAGGUCUCGAGCGUUGUUCGGAUUUAUUGGGCGUAAAGGGUGCGUAGGCGGUAUGGCAAGUCAAGUGUGAAAUCUCGGAGCUCAACUUCGAAACUGCACUUGAUACUACUAUGCUAGAGGGUUGUAGAGGAGACCGGAAUUCCUGGUGUAGCAGUGAAAUGCGUAGAUAUCAGGAGGAAUACCGAUGGCGAAGGCAGGUCUCUGGGCUAACACUGACGCUCAUGCACGAAAGCGUGGGGAGCAAACAGG
rnacentral:rRNA from 1 species